CCAAGGAGUCUAACAUGUGCGCGAGUCGUCGGGUCUUGGACAGGCCCGCAGGCGCAAUGAAAGUGAAGGGCGACCGAGUCGUCGUCUGCGUUGGGAUCCCCGGGCGGAGGUGCCCGGGGCGCACCAACGGCCCGUCCCGUCCGCGACGUCGGUGGGACGGAGCGAGAGCGCACACGUUGGGACCCGAAAGAUGGUGAACUAUGCCUGGGCAGGACGAGGCCAGAGGAAACUCUGGUGGAGGUCCGCAGCGAUUCUGACGUGCAAAUCGAUCGUCAGACCUGGGUAUAGGGGCGAAAGACUAAUCGAACCGUCUAGUAGCUGGUUCCCUCCGAAGUUUCCCUCAGGAUAGCUGGCGCUCGAGGGAGUCAGUCUCAUCCGGUAAAGCGAAUGAUUAGAGGCCUUGGGGCCGAAACGACCUCAACCUAUUCUCAAACUUUCAAUGGGUGAGAAGUCCGGUUUACAUGACUGAAGCCCGGACGGAAAGAGAAGGAUGCGAGUGCCCAGUGGGCCACUUUU
rnacentral:rRNA from 1 species